rnacentral:rRNA from 1 species
UAGGGAAUCUUCGGCAAUGGACGAAAGUCUGACCGAGCAACGCCGCGUGAGUGAAGAAGGCCUUCGGAUCGUAAAACUCUGUUGUUAGAGAAGAACAAGGACGUUAGUAACUGAACGUCCCCUGACGGUAUCUAACCAGAAAGCCACGGCUAACUACGUGCCAGCAGCCGCGGUAAUACGUAGGUGGCAAGCGUUGUUCGGAUUUAUUGGGCGUAAAGCGAGCGCAGGCGGUUUCUUAAGUCUGAUGUGAAAGCCCCCGGCUCAACCGGGGAGGGUCAUUGGAAACUGGGAGACUUGAGUGCAGAAGAGGAGGGUGGAAUUCCAUGUGUAGCGGUGAAAUGCGUAGAUAUAUGGAGGAACACCAGUGGCGAAGGCGGCCCUCUGGUCUGUUACUGACGCUGAGGCUCGAAAGCGUGGGGAGCAAACAGG